rnacentral:rRNA from 1 species
UACGAAGGGUGCUAGCGUUGUUCGGAAUCACUGGGCGUAAAGCGCACGUAGGCGGAUGUGUCAGUCAGGGGUGAAAUCCCGGAGCUCAACUUCGGAACUGCCUUUGAUACAGCACGUCUUGAGUCCGAUAGAGGUGGGUGGAAUUCCUAGUGUAGAGGUGAAAUUCGUAGAUAUUAGGAAGAACACCGGUGGCGAAGGCAGCCCACUGGAUCGGUACUGACGCUGAGGUGCGAAAGCGUGGGGAGCAAACAGG